AUGAGAGUUGUGAAUGCGAUGUGUGUAUUAGGCUGUACAUAAUAUUAACGGAAAGAGAGUGAUAAUAUAUAACCUUUCAUCGCUUCCGAAGUGACUAAAAGGGAUAUUGGACCUUAUUUUCAGAUUACAGACAACACGAGAGGGUGCUUCAAACUUUUUAAUCAGGACUGCAUUGUUUGUUCGCUCCCGGGGUUACAUAGACUGAAACGAGGAAGUGUGACGAGUUUGUUUACAUGGUGCUGUAAACUUCAACCCAGGAGGACACUUCAAAGGAAUCAAGGUGUCUGUGAUAUUGAAACACUAAAGGAAGAAGAGGAGGACCACCAUUCGUUUCCUGAGCAGAAAAAAAAUUAAGCAUGUAAUUCAUUGAUGAAAAUUAGAACAAAUAAAUCUCAUGACUUCAUUGAUCUUUCUUUUUUUACAUGUAAUUUUCUCCUCUUUCUCAA